rnacentral:rRNA from 1 species
GACGGGGGGGGCAAGUGUUCUUCGGAAUUACUGGGCGUAAAGGGCUCGUAGGCGGCCAACUAAGUCAGACGUGAAAUCCCUCGGCUUAACCGGGGAACUGCGUCUGAUACUGGAUGGCUUGAGUUUGGGAGAGGGAUGCGGAAUUCCAGGUGUAGCGGUGAAAUGCGUAGAUAUCUGGAGGAACACCGGUGGCGAAGGCGGCAUCCUGGACCAACACUGACGCUGAUGAGCGAAAGCCAGGGGAGCAAACGGG